rnacentral:misc_RNA from 1 species
AACGCACGAGACCUGCGGACCUGCGGAAGGAUCAUUAUAGAGUUUUCUAACUCCCAAACCCAUGUGAACUUACCUUUGUUGCCUCGGCGGAGCCUACCCGGUACCUACCCUGUAGCGCCCCGCCGGUGGACUUCUAAACUAUUGUUAUUUUAAUGAUAUCUGAGAGUCUUAUUUUAAUAAGUCAAAACUUUCAGCAAUGGAUCUCU